rnacentral:rRNA from 1 species
CAGCCGCCGCGGUAAUACGUAGGGUGCGAGUGUUAAUCGGAAUUACUGGGCGUAAAGCGUGCGCAGGCGGUUAUAUAAGACAGAUGUGAAAUCCCCGGGCUCAACCUGGGACCUGCAUUUGUGACUGUAUAGCUAGAGUACGGUAGAGGGGGAUGGAAUUCCGCGUGUAGCAGUGAAAUGCGUAGAUAUGCGGAGGAACACCGAUGGCGAAGGCAAUCCCCUGGACCUGUACUGACGCUCAUGCACGAAAGCGUGGGGAGCAAACAGGAUUAGAUACCCCGGUAGUCCUGUCUCUUAUACA